CAUCGCCGAGUUAACCCCAAAAUAAGGAAACAUGUAGCACGGACUCCAGCGAAAAGUGAAAACGAGAGCGACAACUUCAUGGAUACGGCUAAUAGCACCAUCUGUGGCGCAGCAAGUGCAACCCUUUGGAUAUAGAAGUUUAUUAUCCAUGGUUUUACAAAUGGUAUAUAAUAGAGCCAAAUAAAUCACUGCGAUAAGCGCCGACCAUCUGGUAAGUAAAUCAACUGCAGAUUUUGAUUUAUCUCUGCGACUAAUGAAGCCGUUCAAGUGGGAAACCAAACCAAGUGCCCACUUGGUCCGGCCAAACAAACAUCCCUCCUCCACAACGAUGGUGGUAAAUAGAGCUCGAAGAGCCUGAAGACGCCUCUUCCGGCAGGAUGAAGAUCCAAGUUUCCCGGCACGGCGCAUGUGCACGUGCUGCAAGCAAAGCAAACACAGAACAUGUGCCCCUCUUUGAAACUGAACACCGCACAUAAAAUUAUAGCAUAGAAUCACAGUUCGAGGGGGGUUCAAAGUGCGGGAGCAAUGCACAAGUGCUCAUUAACAAUUACAAACAGGCGAUCAUCAGUCAGUGGAGCGCACUACAUUUUCCAAUUUCCCAAUAAAAGCAUUAUAAAUGCGCAUAUGUACAUUUCCCCCCAUUAGAUUCGAAUGGUAGACAAAGGCAGGGCAUGAAUGAGUUGAAUACAUUAAGUAAUCAUCAUCGGUAUUCACAGCACAAGCACCCUGUAAAUGCAUAUAUUAUAUUCAUAUACCCCCUAUCUAUUAUCAGCUGUUUUGGUGUACUGCUGCUGAUUAAAUCAACCUCAAACAGACGGGGAAUGCUAAAAAAGAUACAUAUGUAUAUGUACGUACAUAGAUAUCACUUUCAAUGAACAGCAAUUGGCUUGUUUACAUGAAGAUACGAAAAAGUAUAUAUACAAACGCAAAACUUGUCGCUUUUCUUUUUCUUUUUUUUUGGGAUUUUCUGCUACUUUUAUUUGUUAAUUAAUUAUUGUCGGCUUCGAAAGAUCAGCGGAUGCCAUAUGUUUUUGGGUCUUGAAAGGGAAAAAAACAGGUCGUGAUCAUAAUCCAUAAAUUAGAAUACCAGACAUAGCAAAAAAUUAUAAAAUAGAUCUACAGAUGGCGAAUGAAAGUUUAAAUGGCAUACUUUUAGGUGGAUUUUAGAAUUUCGCUCUCAUAUCGAUUGUUCGGUUUUAGCUCUAAUUGAAUUUAGUUGUUUUUCCACAAUUGCAUGGACUAUGAUGACUCAUCCGUUGAUUUCCACAGUCAAGUAUGACAAAUCCAUUUGCCCCCCCCCAACUGCUGAUCCAAUUGUGGCCCUCGCCAAAUUAGCAUGGAACAAUCCACCCUCGAAUAUAGCAAACUAGUAUAGUAUCUACAUCUUUUUAUAUCUUUUGUGCAUAGCUUGACCUCCCGCAUGAGCGUGUGUUUUAAUGGUCUUGCACAAAAAUAAGUUGCCAAAGUAAACAAAAGUGCAGCUUCGCUUUCCUAGCGGUGGGUCCAUCACCUCCAAGACUGGAUGAGCUCAGAUGAAAUGCGACUGAAUGCGGGAUGUGGCUCCCCAACACGGUGCUGCACUUUGCUCCCGGCUAAGGGUCAUCAUCCCAUCCAAUUCCAUCCCAAACCCAUCCCAUGCUGCGCGAAAAACUCUGCGCACAACCUGAGACGCAAAAAAGAGAAAUCCUUGAUGAGGAAGCCAUCCAGUUUAAAUGCCAUGAGUAAGAAGUGAUAAAAAUGGCCAUUUUCUGCAAGUUUAAGUGUUCCUCAAAAAAGUUUAAUUUACAGACAGUUUGUUUCAUAAAACCAAUAUUUUACCACAGCUUAUAAGUUAGUAAGCACUACUAAAUGCCUUUUAAGUUUAAGUGUUUAGUAAUAACUAGGCAAACUGCUUUAAUUCCAGAAAUCUUAAAGGAAUUAUAAUCGGACUCGUGACUAGAUUGGUUUUGCUUUUUAUCAUUGUUAAGUCAGCUAAUCAUACUAAUCCGAUAGAUUUAUUCAAUAGCUGCUAUGUGGUCAUCUGUCAAAGCCUAUAAACUGAUGAUUGGGAUUAAACAUACUUAGUGUACAUUAGAUGAAUGAAACUAAGUGCUACUGCGUUUAAAGUAUUAUAUACUAUCAUUUUGAAUUAUUCAAAUCGCGUAACUUUGUAAUUCAAAUCCCCCAGUUUUUGCUAUUUGAAGGGAAAGUCUCAUGUUACCGAUGGCUUUCCCUGAUAGAUGCCCCAAUGUUCAUGGUCGUUUAUCAUUCAGCCGUCAGCAAAGUCAAAUAUUAUAGAAGCAUAUUUAAUGACAUAUUUAAGUUACCAUCAGGCCGUAAUUAUGUCAGUGCCGCGAUGACAAAUCUCGAAAGAUCGCUGCGAAAAAGGGGCGACUGCAUUCGAAGCGUCACAUGUGGCCAAUGGGCUAAUUAAAGACUCCAGACUUUGUUUACUCAUCCCCAAAGAACAGACUUGAAGAAAGAGGCUCAAUUUUCAUAGAAGAAACCAACGAGGGGGAAACUACACGGAUCUACUUCGAUUGCACAAACCAGCAGGCGAAACGCUUCCUAGUUUGACAACCGUGCGGCGAACGGGAACGGGAAUAUUGAAACAUAUUGACAAUUUCACAAUCGGCCACAAAAUGAAAACUGAGGCAGAUGUUGCAACAUGGCUGUGACAACCGCAUGGACGAUGUUUUCCCGCUGUUGUGCUCCGACUUUUGGCUUGGCACUUGCAGACCUUGACAACAGCAAUAUGUCAAAUGUCAAUUUGAUUCACAACCAACUACGUAGCAUGCCACAAGACAAGACUAAAAAAAAACCGAAUGCAUGCCACACAUAUUUCACGUACUGAGCGCGAAAGAAAUUGCGUCAAGUGGACUUUUUCUUGUCAUAAAGUGAAAGUCGAAAUCAUGCGUAAUUACCGAUCCAUAAAAUGCGGAAUAGUCUACUCGCGCCAUAAGAUAAAACCGAUCGAUCAAGUCUAGUGUCCCAACUUUGAGGAGUGCGAAGACAGGCGACAAAAAACGCAGACAAAACCUACGCAGCCACUCGAUGCGUGCAACUAUCCAAACUAUCCAGCUAUACAACUAUCUAUGUAUCUAUGUAUCUAUCCACAUGUCUUCGCUCCUCGGCUGUCAAUACCGUUUAACGCUUGUCCAUGAACAAAUUGGUAAAUCUUUCCAAUGACAAGCUACACAAAACUUUAAAAUUUGUAAAAAGAAAACAUUGAUCGAACGUUUAAUGCUCUUCAGGCCAGGAAAUAAUCAAAAGAAGUCAAAAGAGGUUUUAAAGAAACUUCAUUUGAACCUAAAAUCAAAAAAAUUAGAAAAUUUGUAUAACGUAAAAGUAAUUUUAUUUACUUUUCUUCCGUAGAUAUGGGGAAUAACUAAUGAUAAAAAGAUUAAUAGCUCGAAUGUUUGUUUUAUUUAACCAAUAAUAAAUUUAUUGAUGGUCACAAGAUCGG
ensembl:ncRNA lncRNA:CR43654 long non-coding RNA:CR43654